AUGAACGCUAGCGGCAGGCCUAACACAUGCAAGGUCGAGGGGCAGCACAGGUAGCAAUACUGGGUGGCGACCGGCGGAUGGGUGCGUAACGCGUAUGCAACCUACCAUUGAUUGGGGCAUAGCCCGAAGAAAUUCGGAUUAAUACUCCAUAAUAUUCAUCAAAGGCAUCUUUUAUGAAUUAAAGCUUUUGCGAUCAAUGAUGGGCAUGCGUGACAUUAGUUAGUUGGUGAGGUAACGGCUCACCAAAACGAUGAUGUCUAGGGGUUCUGAGGGGAUUAUCCCCCACACUGGUACUGAGACACGGACCAGACUCCUACGGGAGGCAGCAGUGAGGAAUAUUGGUCAAUGGACGCAAGUCUGAACCAGCCAUGCCGCGUGCAGGAUGACGGCCCUAUGGGUUGUAAACUGCUUUUCCACGGGAAGAACCCUCCGACGUGUCGGAGACUGACGGUACCGUGGGAAUAAGCAUCGGCUAACUCCGUG
rnacentral:rRNA from 1 species